UAUUGCCGAGGAGCAUGAGCAGUUUGUUCACAUUAUCCACCAUAUUGGAUUGAAUCGCAAGGUUGUCCAGGAGGUGAUUUUCUACGUAGAAAAUGCCGCUUGUGAAAGAAGCUACACAGCUUGCAAAAUAUGCAGGAAAAGUUGGAAGAGGAUGGAUGUUUACAGCAGGAGCAUGGGGCGGUGCAAUGGGACUUACAGCACUCUACUUAACAGACUGGAAGGUCAUUAUGGGAAAAGUCCCCAUCAUUGGCAAGAAAUAUGACCAUGAGACACCCAGAUGACAAAACUUCAUCAAAGAUCAUUUUGCCAGAGAAGAAGGCACAUGGAUGUGACAUUAAUAAUAAGAAUAAAAAGAAAGUAGUCUACAGAACAUUUUCAAUACUUUGUUCACUUUACACUGUCAGUUGUAUGCAUUGUGGACGAAGGAUUCUGUAUUUUGACUUUUUUUCUUGUAAAAAGGAAAUAAAUAUAACUUGUUUUGAACAGUUUCACCAUCAUGUCUCCACUAUAUUCUGGUUCAUGUAUGUUACUUACAUUUUUAAUAGGAUAUAUUUUAUUUGCCUUGUUCUAGGAUAGCCCUAAUCAUCACUAGGACAAAUGGGACAAAUGGGACAAAUGUUUGUAUGCUCAAAGUCAAUGGUGCUAAGGCUUAGCCAUUGAUGUGGUCAUACUGUAUGUCUAUCUGUCCUUAAUCACAGUAAUUUGUGAACCUUCUAAAGGAAGGAAUGGUGAAAUAGAUAUUAUAGGAGUGUGAGUUGUAUCAGACAACUCACGUGUCUAACAAAUACUCCACCAAACUGGGCUGUGUACACAAAGAAGUGUUAGCUACUAAGGUUGGCCGUGUACCCAAAGAAGUGUUAGCUACUAAGGUUGACCUCUUGUUGCAGUCCAUCAAGUUUCCAUUGUCUGCUAUUUGCUGCCAAGGCAAUCAAAUGGGGAGAAACCUGCAACGACAACAAAAACUCACCGUGGGUUCUGUAUUUAUAAAAAUCUGGUCUGCAAGAAUUUGGUGUAAACUUUUAGGUUUGAAAAACGUUUAUCCCCAUAAAAAUCUUUUUGCAGCUAAACUGCUGAGAAAGAGCAAAAGUGGUUAUCAUAAUGUAAACAAUUUAGAGGUGAUUUCCUUCUACUGAGAUUUGCGUUCCCACCUGAGUCACUCUGAAAGCGCACUUGACUUCCUGGUGUGAUCCAUACAGUGUCAGCGCACUCCAGACCUUCACCAAGCCACUAGAAA